CAGAAAAACCUCCACCAUUCGAAGAUGGGCUUCUGAUGUCCAUCCCUUGGAAGAACUUCAGAGCUGCAGGGAAGGCUGUAUCUGUAAUGUGCACCUGCAGCACAGCCUAAUUAUACUUACAUGGAGGCUGGGCUGACUGAACAUAGAGGGAGCUGCAGAGUCUGUCCUCACCCAGCCAGCUCCUCUCAGGCGGUUCCCAUGGGCCUUUGAGAGUUCAGCCAGAGCUGGUCGGGUGAGGAAGUGACUCUGCAGCAGGUUCGUGACUUGCAUGCUAGAGGGGGGCUGGCCGGCUGAUCGGGAGCGGCUGAUGGAGAAUGAAGUGCCCCCAACAUAGCGGGAGAUGCCGAUCACCUACCAGACUCAAAGAGGCAGGAGCCCACACCACCCUCAGGGAGGGAUGAGCCAAACCUACACCAGGCAAAACAGGUGCCCCCUUCAAGACUAGCACCCCCUGCACCUUGGGCAAGA